rnacentral:rRNA from 1 species
UGGGGGAUAUUGCACAAUGGAGGGAACUCUGAUGCAGCAACGCCGCGUGAGUGAAGAAGUAUUUCGGUAUGUAAAGCUCUAUCAGCAGGGAAGAUGAUGACAGUACCUGAAUAAGAAGCCCCGGCUAACUACGUGCCAGCAGCCGCGGUAAUACGUAGGGGGCAAGCGUUAUCCGGAUUUACUGGGUGUAAAGGGAGCGUAGACGGCGAAGCAAGUCUGAAGUGAAAAUCCGGGGCUCAACUCCGGAAGUGCUUUGGAAACUGUUUUGAUAGAGUGUCGGAGAGGUAAGUGGAAUUCCUGGUGUAGCGGUGAAAUGCGUAGAUAUCAGGAAGAACACCGGAGGCGAAGGCGGCUUACUGGACGAUAACUGACGUUGAGGCUCGAAAGCGUGGGAAGCAAACA